rnacentral:tRNA from 1 species
GGGAUUUAAAAGAGUUUCAAAGUUAUGUAGACAGGUUAAAAAAGGGACCGAAACGACUCAUAAUCCCUUGGUCCUAGGUUCGAGUCCUAGUGGGCCCACCA